rnacentral:rRNA from 1 species
AGAGUUUGAUCCUGGCUCAGAACGAACGCUGGCGGCAUGCCUAACACAUGCAAGUCGAACGCCAUCCUCUGGAUGGAGUGGCGCACGGGUGAGUAACGCGUGGGAACCUGCCUUUUUCUGCGGGACAACGAUUGGAAACGAUCGCUAAUACCGCACACGCCCUACGGGGGAAAGGUCCGCCGGAGAGAGAGGGGCCCGCGUUUGAUUAGCUAGUUGGUGAGGUAAUGGCUCACCAAGGCGACGAUCAAUAGCUGGUCUGAGAGGAUGAUCAGCCACACUGGGACUGAGACACGGCCCAGACUCCUACGGGAGGCAGCAGUGGGGAAUAUUGGACAAUGGGGGCAACCCUGAUCCAGCAAUGCCGCGUGUGUGAUGAAGGCCUUAGGGUUGUAAAGCACUUUCAUUGGCGAAGAUGAUGACGGUAACCAGAGAAGAAGCCCCGGCUAACUUCGUGCCAGCAGCCGCGGUAAUACGAAGGGGGCGAGCGUUGUUCGGAAUUACUGGGCGUAAAGGGCGUGUAGGCGGCUCUUUAAGUUAGGCGUGAAAGCCCCGG